UACAGAGGUCCCAAGCGUUGUUCGGAUUUAUUGGGCGUAAAGAGCUCGUAGGCGGUUCGGUAAGUCGGGUGUGAAAACUCUGGGCUCAACCCAGAGAGGCCACCCGAUACUGCUGUGACUAGAGUGCGGUAGGGGAGCGGGGAAUUCCUGGUGUAGCGGUGAAAUGCGCAGAUAUCAGGAGGAACACCAGCGGCGAAGGCGCCGCUCUGGGCCGUAACUGACGCUGAGGAGCGAAAGCAUGGGUAGCAAACAGG
rnacentral:rRNA from 1 species